AGUGAACGCUGGCGGUAGGCCUAACACAUGCAAGUCGAACGGCAGCACAGAGGAGCUUGCUCCUUGGGUGGCGAGUGGCGGACGGGUGAGGAAUACAUCGGAAUCUACUCUGUCGUGGGGGAUAACGUAGGGAAACUUACGCUAAUACCGCAUACGACCUACGGGUGAAAGCAGGGGAUCUUCGGACCUUGCGCGAUUGAAUGAGCCGAUGUCGGAUUAGCUAGUUGGCGGGGUAAAGGCCCACCAAGGCGACGAUCCGUAGCUGGUUUGAGAGGAUGAUCAGCCACACUGGAAGUGAGACACGGACCAGACUCCUACGGGAGGCAGCAGUGGGGAAUAUUGGACAAUGGGCGCAAGCCUGAUCCAGACAUACCGCGUGGGUGAAGAAGGCCUUCGGGUUGUAAAGCCCUUUUGUUGGGAAAGAAAUCCAUCUGGUUAAUACCCGGGUGGGAUGACGGUACCCAAAGAAUAAGCACCGGCCAACUUCGUGCCAGCCGCCGCCGUAA
rnacentral:rRNA from 1 species